GUUAACUCGUUGAGGUUAGUAUCUAGUCGGGAUAAACUACGGCAUCGGAACUAAAAGAGAGUUGACCUUAUACCAAGUAGCUCUUAGAAUAAUCGGUAGAGGCCGGUAGCGAAAGUAUAAUGAUUCUCCCAAGAUGUGGGCAAGCCUAGCUAGGGAGGUAUCGAAAACUGUUUGUUGAAGUAGCGUAAUUCUCCCUGUGUAAGCUCCCUUACUAAAAGUAAUACAUAAAGAGUUAUGAAAGUUGGGCAGUAUAAAAAUAAUGACCUGUUGCAAAUAACGGAUUAUCCUCGAAAUCGAGCCGUAUGGUCAGACAGACAACUUUAGGGGUAUAUAGAUAGUGCAAUGAGAUAUAACCUAGCAACUUAUAAAAGUUGC
rnacentral:sRNA from 12 species